GAAACAAAUGUUCCCGCAGCCUGAUUUCUAUGAAAUACAGCCAAACAAAAUGACGCUCAUGUUUUUUGGAUGGUCAUGUCCCAGCAAAAGUCACCUUUCACCUGUGUGUGUGGAACUUGACAGAGAGCACAGGACAAGCAAUUUUCUUAUUUAAUUGGUCUUUUAAAACUUUCUCUCUGCUUUGUGGCAGCCUGGCCUAUGUAAGGCGCACGCUCUGAGCCGAUUCGCCUGCGGGGGCUUUCCCAAGGAGCACCUGAGAGCGCCAGUGGACGGAACGUGUGGUGAGCAGCUUCACGGCCACCCAGGCCAGGAGCAGCCCUCCUGGUUCACAGUGGCCGGGGCUCAGGGAGCCUCCAUAAAGAAGGUGGCUGCCUGCAUCACAGUUGAGAGGGCAGCAAAAUUCUGGCAGAAAUCGAUAAGAGCAAGUGCAUCCAGCAAGCAAAGAAGGCGAGCGAAGGCACAUCUAGAAGGUGGCCCAAGUUAGUCAGCCGGUUCGCAGGUGGUCCUCCUCUUCCUCUCUCUAUGUGCAG
rnacentral:lncRNA from 1 species